UGGCAAAAAUUGUCUCUUCCUUAUUUCUAUGUGUCUUCCUUACUUCUAUGCAGUUAUUAUAUGAUUUAUGACUUAUGUUCUGCAAUUAAUAUCUUAUGUUUUGUCUUACUGUAUGCAUUUGACAUUUCACCUAGAUUGUUCAAUGGUUGUCUCUGCCUGAUAGACUCUCAACUCUAGCUCCCAAACCCAAGGUCGGGGAGUUGUGUCUCUGUCUGUUGAGACUUGGUGCUCCUUUCUCACAGAUAGUUGGACGUCAGCAAUGCAGGUGUGAGAAUGUAAACAUCUUCACACACACUGUGACAGGGAGGAGAUGGUGCAUGUAAUUUGAUUGGGUUAGAAAGACAUUCCACCCUAGUCGGACAGAGAAGCUAAAAGGCAGAAGCAACUUUAGGAUCGUGGGCUCUUUGCAUCACACCUUCGUGGUGUGUGCACUGAUCUCCCCAGCUGGUUUUGGUUUGUUGAUGUGCACGAUCAACAUCCAUGCUUUUUAUUUGCUUUCCCCAUUAUUUUUAUUUUCUUUAUUAUUUCAAUAAAUCGCACAAAAGGACAACUCUCUCUCAUCUACUUCUUUAUGGAAAAUUUCCACCACAGAAAUUGGCGUUGUCGGCAGGAUCCCGCAGCAGGUCGUCUGGACGGUGUGACCAGGGACGAUAGUCCUGAGGACUAGGGUCGCUCAGCCUCCAAACCUCUACAGACAUUCAGAGCUGGGAGGACUGCUCACCCGUCUGGAUCGCCUCUGACGAGAUCCACGAACUCAGAUUCAAACUCAAAUCCUAAUUUGGCUCAGCUCGGUGAGAGAGAUUCCUUUUAAUUUGGGAAAAAACAAAAAGAAAAUAUAACUAGGAAAAGAGAUAAUAUUUCUAAAACGACUAUGUGGCUGAAAACAUCUAAAAUAUAAUAAUUAGGACCAAACAAUUUUUUUAAUUAAAAAACUUAAUAUUCGGGUAAAAUUAAUUAGGUCAAAGUGUGCCCUGGUGGUCGAGACGGUGGUUGCUAAGGGUUGGCUCGUGGAACCGAGCUUCCGUCUGUACUGAGGAUACAGACAUGUUUUUCUGAUCUGUGCGUGGUCCACACGUGGGGGACUGAGUAUAAAAGACGGCUUCUGAAAGAGGGAGUGCGUUUGCAGAGUGAAGUAUUUUCAAGAGACGAGGGCCCCGGGCCUAGAGGGGCCUAACGUUGAGGAAGUACUUCGUGAAAGACUCUGUCGCCAGAUCGGGUUGGUUCCCUUUUUACGGAGACGUCCGAUAAAAAGGCAUUUUGGGAAGGUUCCGGCCGGAACACAUAAAAAUCUAAGGCAGAAAACCGCCGGGACUCUGAAAGAUGGGUUCGGGGCGAUCUAAGUCUCCACCACCAGACUGCAGCAUUACAAAACUAAAGGUAAUUAAAAGUAAAAAGUAAAUAUGGUUAUUAGUGCGUUUCAUGUUUCCAUGAGUGGGAAACUGGUUAUGGGUUCAAAAGGAGAAUCGCUUGUGUAAAAGACAUAUGCACCUUUAAAAGAAAAAUUAGAUACAAAAAGAUGAAAUUUGAAAAAGCAAAACUAUCAAAACUAAAGCCCUAAAAGAAACAAAAGAGUGAUGAGAGUAACAGGAAAAAAGGAGAUAACAACUCUGGGGAAGAAUUGUUUGCACUCGCCACACACACACAUACACCACACCACACACACACAUGUCAUGCCAAGAGCAAAUGCUCCCAUUCUUUCUGCUCUCUAUUCUAAUGCAGAACUGAGCGCGAUGAGGGUAAAUCCGGAUCUGGACUCCUUUCCCACCAUCAGCAGAAGAACCAAAGGAGAAGAAGCGCCAACCAACAACCAGAACAGGGUGGAAGCUCUGACACCACAGCAGCUGGAGGACACAGACCACAGCAUGGACGCCUCACAGACUCCCACAACGUCUGCAGCCAUCACGUUCUGGGCUCAUCAGAUGAACCAGCUACUACAAGCGUGUGUGUCUGACAGACACCUGCUUAUGACAAUCAGCAAAGGAAAACAAGGACAGAGCAACAGCAGAGAAGACAUGCUCUGACACAGACACUGGUUGAAACAACAGGAGAGGCUUCAGACGUGAUCGGCCCAAUAGAGCUGCAUCCAAGCAUCCAGGAAAGGUCUGUCAUCGAGGAACAACUGUCCCAUUGAAAGGCUUCACCCGCUGGCGCUCACAUGAGACUGAUGGUUGGGGAAGGAGGAAGGUGACGGUUCCUUUUCACGUGACGUACAAGACGGUACCGCAAACACACACACACACACAUUCAUACACGCAAUGAAGAAACACGCUUACAGCUGAUACACGCUCAAAUUCAUGUUCAUGCUUAUCUGCUCGCAAUGAAGAAUCGCUUUUUGCUUAAAAAAAUCCCACAGAGUGAUUUUACAAUGAUGACAAACAGCUAAAUGACAACUGCUGCAUGACUUUGCAGUCUGAUGGGUUUAAACUAUUUUAACUUGCAACAAAUUCAGUAAUAAAAUCCUUCAUGUUUCUAAAAAUACUUGUGCACAAUAUAGGUUUGUCUGGCCAGACUAGAAGACUGUAGAAAACAAAAACAGACCAUAGGAAGACUCAAACUGACUGAAACAGACUAUCAAUGACUAUUAAAGGGAAGACGACUAUUAGAGAGAAGUAAUAAUAAUUACUGUACGUACCAGACUAUUAAAGAAAACUUACUGUUUCACUGUCUUGUGCAACAUCUGCAGCAAGACACCUUAACAUUCAUUUUUGCUUUCAAACUUGUGCCCAGUUAAAUUUUUAGGAAGAGAUCUCAUGUAGUUUAGAUAUUUGAUUGAUUUCCACUCCAGACGGAGUGCAGGUUACAUCUACAGACAUUCUAAAUAAUCCCUCUUUUGUUGGUGUUAACUUCAGCUCAGCUGUGCUCUUAUCAUUGGCUGCUGAGGGGGGGCUGUAACUGAGGCCCUCACACAGGCUGCUUCACAGCUUGUUUAUGAUUUCACACACACACAAACUGACCUCAACUUCCCUCUUUUGGGAUGGACACAGGUCUGCGCUUGCGAUUUCAUUUACUAAUGAACAAAAAGAUUUUUGAUGUUUAUUUUACAGUUACACACGUCCCUCUGUGAAAACAUGAUGGAGACAGAUGACAGGACGUGGGUCCUUUCGUGAACAGAUGUGAACGGGGUGGAGACUGGUGAACGACUUCUGACCCCAUAGGACGCUCUGACCCAACACUCAGCCUUACAGGAAGCCCUGUUUCCCUGUGACUCACACACAGACAUGAUGUAGGUUCAAUCAGAGGAUGUGAACCAGUGGUCAUCACACCUAAAUCUGACCACAGACCAUGUGAACAACAACACCCUCUUAAAGGAGCCAUAGAUGGCGUUACUGCAGACACCACUAAGCUACUGAAACAUUGGAUGCUACAGGCCACAAAGAGAGCCUGUCUAAAUUACAGUUUGUUCAGACAAAGGUUAUUUUCUGGGUCAUUGUAAUUACAGCUGAUGGCAAAUCCAUCUCACCCAACAGAGUUGAAGCAAUUUGAAACCUGCCUAAAACGUGCACGUAAAAACAGCUGAUGUUUUUUCUAGGUCUUUGUUCUUAUUGUAGGACUUUCGUUCCUAACUUUACUGUCUUUGAGGCCCCACUCAGGGUUCUGAUGCAGACGUCUUCAUCGUCCACUUCUUGUCUCACGUGGACGUCUGAGGCUGAACAACGUUCACUGACCUCAUGCUUGCUCUUCAGUCGGCUCCUACCUUGGGUCUUCCUGAUCUGACCCUAUGCGACCUUUCACUCAAACAGUGGAUGAGAGAUCAGGUUGUACGACUUCUGUUCUUUGUCCUCAUACUGUGUCUUUGAUUCUUUUGGAAAACAUCACAUCUUUCUACAGCCAGAUGGCUUAGAUACAACACCACCUUGCUCAACAUGCUGAAAAUUACUAUCAAGAGUCCGUCGUGAAGUCUGGCGCUUUGCAAAGACACUGCUCUGCUCAGGCUGCAGAGUUGAUUGCGUUGACUGAAGCUGGUAAACUAGCAGAAGGAGAGACUGUUACCAUCUACAGACUCCACAGAUGCUUGUCACACGUUGGUUCUCCUUGGAAGCAUGGGAAGCUUUGAAGUCUGAUUGCAAACCUAUCUUACAUCAUGAUAAGGUUCUGCUUUGCUGGACGCUGUCCUGCUGCCUACAGCUAAUGCUGUUUGUAACUGUCCAACAUCAGUGACGACUUUGUUUCUGCCGACGUGCAGCUGCAGACGCUGCUGCGAAGGUCGCUGCCCAACAACCCCUCCCUCUCCUGAUCCUUGUUUCCUCUCCUGAUCCUUGUUUCCUCUCUCCAACUCUCUCUAUCCUUUCCUUCCUUUCUUCCUCUCUCCCUGUGCUUUAAACAUUUUCUACCUCACAGGAACGCAGACUCUGGCUGACGAAUGGUUCCACCUGUAGCCAUGGAGUCUGGUUUGGGCCUGAUGGAAGCAGUGCCGCCCAAACACUUUUUCCCCACAAUUCAGAUUUCUCAACAGGUGAAAACAGGCGACAGAACCACUGCACAUCAUUCAACCAGGAGACUGGGUGAUCAUUAAGGAGCUUCGCAGGAAGCACUGGAACUCAAAGCGGUGGCAAGGUCCCUUCCAGGUCCUUCUGACGACCAACACGGCUGUGAAGAUCGCAGAAAGAGCGACUUGGAUCCACUCCAGCCACUGCAGGAAGGUCCCGGAUCCGACAGACGACCCUCCAUCUAUAUCUACACCACACGAGAAACCACCACUGACGAAAAGAACUGAGAAGGUCGACCCUCGCUGUGCUCACACAUGCACUGAGGCGAGGCUGCGUUGACCGUUCAGCUAAAGGUGUGAGCCAAGCGCCGCCUGAAGCUGCGCCGGUGAAUCACACUAUCAGACCAUACAUCUACACACACGCUCCUGAGAAAACACACACACGAGCAGCCUUGAGUUGCCGACGCUGGACGACGUGUAGACUCUUCACAUCACGGGAGUGACAGUGACUCAGAGGACAUUGGGAGGAAACCUGGCGGUGAUAACGAAUCCCAAGUGUCUCUGUGAUCAGCUGAUCACAACCUGAAGGACUCCAACGAACUGGCAAUACAUCAACACACAGGUUGGAAACAAUCUAACGCUACUGUUCAACAGGAAGAAGCAGAUUGUUACGAGACAUCAAUUGUAAACAUGCUUUGUUAGACUUCAUUUUAUGUUACUUGGAUUAUUGCCUUUAGCAUAUGAUGUUUCUAUGUAACUUUACACACUACUUUUGAAUGAGAAAAUUCACAACAACAACAACACUGAGUUUAAAUAUCCUAAAGUUGACUUGGUGUUUAAUUUGCUCACAAUCACUUUAUUCACUGCUACAAUUAGUUCUAUCCUUCAUCUACAGAUGAAAGACAACACAAGCGGAAAUAUGCAUCAUCAUUCUGGUUAAAUCCCUGAAUCUCCUAUUCGCUCUAGAUGCAAAUGUACAAUUAAAGAUCCGAAAGCAUUAAAUCUAUCUUAAGAAUAUAUGAAACAGAACCCCACCGGAAACGUAUGGCUAUCAUACAUUAAUUGUCUUUAUUACAUUACAAUUGAAUGGCCGUAGACACGUUGUUAGCAGAGAAAAGAGGCGGUUGUGUUGUGUUUGGAGACGCAUAUUGUACUUACAUCCUGAAUAACACUGAUUCUAAUGGUAUUGUGGCGAAGGCGCUCCACGGCCUUCAGAAUCUCAGCUAACUCUGGUAUAGGUUCUUUCCCUUGGAAUUGGCUAGACGAGAUGUCUGGAAAAUGGAAAUCUGUUCUCAUGUCUGCAGCUGUUUCCUUUAUAAUUGAGAUGGCUGUGAUUCUCUUGUUUGGUUUUUGCGUUAUCACACUGGUUAGAGGUCUCAUCAUGCGUGCGACCCCAGCAACACUCUCGUAUCAAAUGACACAAUGCACUAUGUUCAAAAACCCCAACUCUAAUUCACUUAAUGACUUUGACGAUGGUCUUAGGCUAUCUGACCACGAAAUAUAAUCUGAUACGAAUAUGAUUAUGGGCUUAUUUUCUUCACAUGCCGAUACAGAAGUUAUUCUUGUAUAACUACCCACCAAAAACAGCUCCCAACCUUUUAUCCCUAAGUUACUUGCAUUUUAUGUGAAGGUGUAUUUUUGAAUUUUGACUUAAUACACUUAUUGUUUCAUUUGCAAGGAUCUUGUUUGAUUAAUGUGUAAUCAAAAGGGGGGAGUGUUAUGGCAAAAAUUGUCUCUUCCUUAUUUCUAUGUGUCUUCCUUACUUCUAUGCAGUUAUUAUAUGAUUUAUGACUUAUGUUCUGCAAUUAAUAUCUUAUGUUUUGUCUUACUGUAUGCAUUUGACAUUUCACCUAGAUUGUUCAAUGGUUGUCUCUGCCUGAUAGACUCUCAACUCUAGCUCCCAAACCCAAGGUCGGGGAGUUGUGUCUCUGUCUGUUGAGACUUGGUGCUCCUUUCUCACAGAUAGUUGGACGUCAGCAAUGCAGGUGUGAGAAUGUAAACAUCUUCACACACACUGUGACAGGGAGGAGAUGGUGCAUGUAAUUUGAUUGGGUUAGAAAGACAUUCCACCCUAGUCGGACAGAGAAGCUAAAAGGCAGAAGCAACUUUAGGAUCGUGGGCUCUUUGCAUCACACCUUCGUGGUGUGUGCACUGAUCUCCCCAGCUGGUUUUUGGUUUGUUGAUGUGCACGAUCAACAUCCAUGCUUUUUAUUUGCUUUCCCCAUUAUUUUUAUUUUCUUUAUUAUUUCAAUAAAUCGCACAAAAGGACAA